UACUUGUACUGAUUGAGAUUUUAACACGAAGUGAGUGGCGAACGGGUGAGUAACACGUGGGUAACCUGCCCAGAAGUAGGGGAUAACACCUGGAAACAGAUGCUAAUACCGUAUAACAGAGAAAACCGCAUGGUUUUCUUUUAAAAGAUGGCUCUGCUAUCACUUCUGGAUGGACCCGCGGCGUAUUAGCUAGUUGGUGAGGUAAAGGCUCACCAAGGCAGUGAUACGUAGCCGACCUGAGAGGGUAAUCGGCCACAUUGGGACUGAGACACGGCCCAGACUCCUACGGGAGGCAGCAGUAGGGAAUCUUCCACAAUGGACGCAAGUCUGAUGGAGCAACGCCGCGUGAGUGAAGAAGGGUUUCGGCUCGUAAAGCUCUGUUGUUAAAGAAGAACGUGGGUAAGAGUAACUG
rnacentral:rRNA from 1 species